rnacentral:rRNA from 1 species
AGCGGCGGACGGGUGAGUAAUGCCUGGGAAAUUGCCCUGAUGUGGGGGAUAACCAUUGGAAACGAUGGCUAAUACCGCAUAAUAGCUUCGGCUCAAAGAGGGGGACCUUCGGGCCUCUCGCGUCAGGAUAUGCCCAGGUGGGAUUAGCUAGUUGGUGAGGUAAUGGCUCACCAAGGCGACGAUCUCUAGCUGGUCUGAGAGGAUGAUCAGCCACACUGGAACUGAGACACGGUCCAGACUCCUACGGGAGGCAGCAGUGGGGAAUGUUGCACAAUGGGCGCAAGCCUGAUGCAGCCAUGCCGCGUGUAUGAAGAAGGCCUUCGGGAUGUAAAGUACUUUCAGCAGUGAGGAAGGUGGGUAUGUUAAUAGCAUAUUCGUUUGACGUUAGCUGCAGAAGAAGCACCGGCUAACUCCGUGCCAGCAGCCGCGGUAAUACGGAGGGUGCGAGCGUUAAUCGGAAUUACUGGGCGUAAAGCGCAUGCAGGUGGUUUGUUAAGUCAGAUGUGAAAGCCCGGGGCUCAACCUCGGAAUUGCAUUUGAAACUGGCAAA